rnacentral:tRNA from 1 species
UCCGAAAUAGCUCAGCGGUAGAGCAGUUGGCUGUUAACCAAUUGGUCGUAGGUUCGAAUCCUACUUUCGGAGCCA